rnacentral:rRNA from 1 species
GACGAACGCUGGCGGCGUGCUUAACACAUGCAAGUCGAACGGUGAAGCGCCUUCCUUUUUGGUGGGUGUGGAUGAGUGGCGAACGGGUGAGUAACACGUGAGUAACCUGCCCCCUUCUUCUGGAUAACCGCAUGAAAGUGUGGCUAAUACGGGAUAUUCUGGGUCUGUCGCAUGAUGGGUCUGGGAAAGAUAUUGUUUCGGUGGGGGAUGGGCUCGCGGCCUAUCAGCUUGUUGGUGGGGUGAUGGCCUACCAAGGCGGUGACGGGUAGCCGGCCUGAGAGGGUGGACGGUCACACUGGGACUGAGACACGGCCCAGACUCCUACGGGAGGCAGCAGUGGGGAAUAUUGCACAAUGGGCGCAAGCCUGAUGCAGCGACGCCGCGUGAGGGAUGGAGGCCUUCGGGUUGUGAACCUCUUUCGCCAGUGAAGCAGGCCUGCCUCGUUUGUGGGUGGGUUGACGGUAGCUAGAUAAGAAGCGCCGGCUAACUACGUG